rnacentral:rRNA from 1 species
ACACGUGGGUAAUCUACCUCUUAGUGGGGAAUAACCCUGGGAAACCGGGGCUAAUACCGCAUAAGCCCGAGAGGGGAAACGCGAAAGCGGCUGAGAGAGGAGCCCGCGGCCGAUUAGCUAGUUGGCAGGGUAAAAGCCUACCAAGGCAAAGAUCGGUAGCCGGCCUGAGAGGGCACACGGCCACACUGGCACUGAAACACGGGCCAGACUCCUACGGGAGGCAGCAGUGGGGAAUCUUGCACAAUGGGGGAAACCCUGAUGCAGCGACGCCGCGUGAGCGAUGAAGCCCUUCGGGGUGUAAAGCUCUUUCGGCAGGGAAGAUGAUGACGGUACCUGCAGAAGCAGCUGCGGCUAACUACGUGCCAGCAGCCGCGGUAAUACGUAGGCAGCAAGCGUGGUUCGGAGUUACUGGGCGUAAAGGGUGUGUAGGCGGUUUGGUAAGUCUGGUGUGAAAUCUCCCGGCUCAACUGG